rnacentral:sRNA from 1 species
UUUGGUAGUAGGCGUAGAUAUGUAAGUUGGUUGAAGCAAAAUUUUAAAUAAGCAAGGUCUUCGAUUUUUAUACAAAAAUGGCUGCAAAACUUGUACAGAUAUGGUUACUGUAUUUGAUGGCGCCGUUUACGAUUUUCUCUUCACUGUGCAAGAUGGAAAUAAAAUGAGCAAUUAAGUGAAAUAUAUUUAUAAGACACAUGUUUGUAUGUGUAUACAUGUAUGCUUGUAAGGGAACAUUUUCCAGCAAUUACUGACAACAAGGUACGUUAUCAUUUUAAAAAGGAAUGACCAUUUUCAAGAGCUUUUCAGCAAACUUUGCACGGUUGGCCCAAGCUUUCUACAUGAUUAAACCCGACCAGAUCAGGAAUGUGUAUUUACAGUUCAGGUAAAGAUACACAGCCACGAACUUUUACUGUAAAAAAUGUCCUUAUGUAGGUGACGCAUAAUGUCCCCCGGGAGUACUAUAGGUACGGAUUAUUCCGUAUCUAGAAUAUAAUUGAAACAAUUAUUGCGUAAUGGUUCAAGCGCCAAAUUGCAAAAAUUUAA